UUUACAGUUGUACUAAAGCCAGAGCAUUAGUUCUUGCCUGGGAAUGUGUGCAAUUGACAUUGCAUCUUACCCACAUUUUAUUGUUCAGGUAUUGCCACAGUGGUGGUGCAUAACUAAGCUCUCCAGAAGCCAUUAGUUUACAGACCAGGAAGUGUGGGUCAGCUGGAGCUUGGCUAAUCUACACUCAAUUCAGCUAGCUGGUUCUGUUUUUGGGUGAUGGGUCAGAAAAGAUUAUUCUAGGCUCUGUCUUUAAGUCAUUGCUAUUUCUCCGGUGUUUUCUUCUGUGUUUGCCAUAUGGCCUGAAAACACUGGCUGUGUAGAACAUGAUCUUCAUGGUAGAUCACUGGAAGGCAAGCCUUGGCACGCUCAUAUCGACUCAGGAUCCCAUUCAAUGUGAUUCUUAACAUUCCACAUAUAAAAACUUUAUAGAUGUAUUGUUCAUCAUCGAGACAAGAAAAUAAACUUCACACAGACUAGCAUGACAGCAGAAUUGAUCAUGUUUAGAACUGGAUAUGAUUAUGAUUAAAACAGUCCGAAGUAAGAAUUUUAUAGUACUUAAGAAAAGUGUUCUUUUUCAAAAAACAAAAUACAAAGUUCACUUCUUAGUAUACUAUCCGUCAUAACUAUCCUAGAGGAUUAAGGUUAUUAAGAUGGAACUUUUAUACAGUUCAAAAUUUAUUUUUGAAACAUGCUUCCACAUCGUUUAUCAAAGUAGACAUGAGAAGAUGAUAUAAUUAGGCUCAAUACUAAAACAAUGUCUUCUAGAGUCAAAUGUGUCGUCAUCUUCAGUGACCACAGGCCAUGGAGCUUAGGUGCCGUGGUGUUUAUCUAUUGUGUAUUGAGAAUCAUGCUUCUGUACGGGAGUUUAUAAUCCUUUCUGAACAGAUAGUGAUUCAUUCGUUCUCAAAUCAUGUAAAAAAGGUAGAAAAUAUUAAAAUGUAGGGCUAGAAGAAAUUUAAAUAAAUUCAUUUUCAUAAAAGUAAGUAAUGUGUGGUGUUCAGAAAUGUUAGUAAUGUUUUAGAAUAAACUAAGGAGAUAGGGGUAAGAUUUAAAUCAAGAAACUGAAAUGCAAAAGCAUUCAUAGAAUCAGAAUAUUUUAAGGAGGAGAAAUAUCUAAAUCAAUGUUUUUCAACCUCUGAGUCACAACCCCUUUGGUUCAAUUUGUAUCAAUAAAAAUGCACGCUGCAUAUCAGGUAUUUACAUUAUGAUUCAUGGCAGUAGCAAAGUUACAGGUAUGAACUAUCAGUGAAAAUAAUUUUAUGGUUGUGGUCACCACAACAUAGGGGACAGUCUUAAGGUUUCAGAGCUUUAGGAAGUUCCCUGUUCUAAACUCUUGGAUAGUUUUUGAAGCUUAUUUAAAAACUAUAGCAAACUUUCUAUGCAGAUAGAAUGUUCCACCUAAUUCAAAGGCCAAACACAUCUGUCUGUUUGUUAGAGCAUAUUGGUACUUAUGGGGCCGUGACUUGAAUGCGGAUGCUAAUAGCCUGUGCUUUCUUGGAAAGGGACUCAUCCUGACCCUUGGGAUGCAGCUUUAAGAGCAAUAAUUUUUAUUUCAAGCAAUGACAGGGAUCAAGUGAAGUCUGAAGUAUUUUGACAUAGAGAGCAGAUUACUCCACUAGUAACAAAGCAUUUUAGGUUUCGGAGUAUAGUGAUUCAUCUGGACUUACUGUUACAUUUUUUUCCAUAUUGCCAAUUUCUGGAUUCUCUUUUCUUUCUGUUUUCUCCAUGCGUCCUAGGAAGAGACUCAGAAAUAAACCAGAUUAACUUCACUCCAAGAAAGGUCGACUGGACAUUUCAAGCAAUUGUCUGUCAGUUGGCAACACCACCAAAGUGGUUGGAUAAAAUAAAUACCAUUGUACACGGAAUGAAAAAUAUACCACUCUUAACCAUCUUUCUGCUUCAUCUCCUGAAGAGUUACCUGAGCCCUGAGGGGAAGGAUUUGAUGGAGGUAUCCCAUUAAGGAAUGAGUAGUUCAAGGCCUCUAACUCUCUGAACAUUGUCCAGUUUUGGGUCUCUCUAUUUGUUCUCAUCUACUGCAGAAAGAAGCAUCUAUGAUGAUGGAAUUACUAUGGCCUAAAUAAACCUUUCCAACUCUACUGAGUAUCAAAUCUAAUUGCACAUCACACUGCCAUUUCUGACAAUGGUAAUGGCGAAACCCACCACUGAACCUCAAACCAAUCUUGGGAAUAUGGACUACCACCUGAUGAAAGAUCUUCAAAGUCACAUCAAAGAUGGGGAGAAGCCAAACUCAUUUUAUAAUCAUUCUACCACAGUGAGUUUCUUUUAGUGUAUUUCCAAUCAAUUUAGUUAAUCUGCUUCUUUGAUUCUUGCUUUUCCCCAUUCAUAUUAUUAUUUUCUUAUUUCUAAACCAUUUAAAACAUAUGUACUUUGCAUUUUGAGUGUGGUAAUGUAAUAACCAGUACCCUGAUUGUGCCACCCCUUUGACUUUCCAUGUUUUAUGGUUUUGUCUUUGGUUUGAUGCAAUGUUUGUUUGCCUUUGUUUUUAUGAGAAACCAAAGAACCACACAACGUUUGCUUUUUGAUUUAUCCAUUCUUGCUCAUACAUUGACCAGUGAAUUUAAAGGCCAAUUUAUCAGGUUGCAGAUGGUCCUCAGGGGAGACGUUUCUCUCAUCAUCAAGUCGAGGUAGGCACAGCUGAUUAUUUGGCAUCUUCCUGCUUUAGAAGCAGCUAGUUUUUCCUUUGGGUUAUAGCCUCUCUCUUCCCAAAGCUGUUUCCUAAAUGGUCAUUAGAAAAUAAGAACCAAACCCAUUUAUUGACAAAUGCUCCAGGGAACUCAUCUCUUUGGAGCUUCUUAGAACUCUUGUUAUCUUAAAAAAAAUUCAUUUCUUUUUCCUUAGAGGACACAUAGCUUCCUGUGUGAGCUUGGCUUUGAACUCUCUUUAAAAUGAUUAUUAUAUCUAUCCAUUUUAGGUAUCAUGUAACUAGUUGGGCUUUAAACUCCUACCACAGUGUUGCAAAUGGAGGUCAGAUUGAUCUGCUUUAGGAUGCACAGGUGAAAAUGUAAAUGAAUUCUAUAGCUGCAGUGCAGACUUGAAGAGUUGGGAAGGUGGUGAACAUCCAGGUGAAUGGAUGCCAGGAACUCAGGGGAACAUUGUUUUGAGCAUCCUUGAAGACUCUGAUACCUUUAUUCUACUAUUGUGCUUUGAUCUGCCCAUGUAUGAUGGAUUAAUUAAUGCUCCUAUAUUAUUCAGACUUCAUUUCUUCCGUAUGCUUUUCUGUAUUGCUGAUCUUGCUUUCAUACUGUGAGGUACAUUUUAUAAACAACACAAUGUACUGAACCUCAUUUACAUUCAUCAUAUACUCCAGCGGAUUUUUUUUUUUUACUUUCUCUUAAUAAGAAAUGGAAGAUUAAAAAUGGGUAAGAAUUCUGGGGGGUG